ensembl:snRNA U6 U6 spliceosomal RNA
GUGCUUGCUUCGGCAGCUCAUAUACUAAAAUUGCAAUGAUACAGAGAAGAUUAGCAUGGCCCCUGCUCAAGGAUGACACACAAAUUUGUGAAGCAUUCCAUAUUUUU